AUACGUAGGGUGCAAGCGUUAAUCGGAAUUACUGGGCGUAAAGCGUGCGCAGGCGGUGAUGUAAGACAGAUGUGAAAUCCCCGGGCUCAACCUGGGAACUGCAUUUGUGACUGCAUCGCUGGAGUGCGGCAGAGGGGGAUGGAAUUCCGCGUGUAGCAGUGAAAUGCGUAGAUAUGCGGAGGAACACCGAUGGCGAAGGCAAUCCCCUGGGCCUGCCCUGACGCUCAUGCACGAAAGCGUGGGGAGCAAACAGGAUUAGAUCCCCUGGUAGUCCACGCCCUAAAUGAUGUCAACUGGUUGUUGGGUCUUCACUGACUCAGUAACGAAGCUAACGCGUGAAGUUGACCGCCUGGGGAGUACGGCCGCAAGGUUGA
rnacentral:rRNA from 1 species